AUAACUUGCAAAAGGUAUGUGCGUUCUUGAAACUUCGAAACGAAUAAACCCUGCAUUUCCUAAAAAACGUAUUCAAGACGUGUUCAAAUAUUCCAGAGCAACUGCAGUCAUGGAGUGGCUCGUACCGAUAGCAUGAUAUUUUGCUGACAUGAACUCAGUACCAGAAAAUGUACAGAACUUUCUUGGCGAAGAAAAGAUCAAAGGAAUACAAAAUACCACCCUGGUGUUUAUGAUAAUACCAUUUUGCGCAGGCGUCGUCGCCGGGAUCCUGUUCAUCGUCCUCUGCCGCCCGUUCCGACGCUACAUGGAAUCGGUGUUCUUCACGGAGGCGCCCAGCCGCUCGGCCAUGCACGUCAGAGGCGCCAGCCUCCGCUAACAGGCGGCCACUCAGCGCCCAUCGGCGCCGUCCCAGCCAAUUUCAUAACAGCGCCGCCGGAGCGCGACACUGCCGCGUCGACAUCGAUUCGACGAAAUCCGCCGAGCGUCGGCGACCGGCGCCAAUAUGCUACGUGCAACGUGUAAAAUUUUAAUGCAGAAUUCUAAUCUCCACUGCCCUUCAGUUCAUUAGCCUGAUAUAUCCCCGUGAUUUAAUACGCUCGACCAAUCGUGUGAUUCCAUUAAAACGUCACGACUUUUGACGCCGCUCAUUGGUCCACCGCAUAUUGGCCCGGAGGGGAUAACGCCUGAUUACAUGUUUCUAUGGCAACGGCGCGAUAGCGGCAGACGCGGGGAGGCGAAAAUCAGCGGCGGCUGCUGGGGAGAAGCAGCGAGACGGGCCGGGCCGGCGGCGCGCGGGGGAGCGCGGCGCUCCCUCAAUGCAGGCCGACGAGCCACCGCCUUUUAUCGCCGGCAAUAUUUCACGGUGAAAAUAAACGCGCCGCGAGGGGAGGAUUUGGCGCGUUUGAAUUCGGUAAUUUCAGGGCAUCGCUUCUCCUUUCGGGGUUGUCGGGACCGGGCUCUUCGCUCGAUAGUGCAUCGUGGUUUCAUUUUGGUCAUGGGCUGUCGUCCCUGGAAGUUAGGAAGGUAUAAAGUGAAUGUCGCCAAAUGCCUUAUGCCUAAAUAAACAUAAUGAGAUGA